GACGAACGCUGGCGGCGCGCCUAACACAUGCAAGUCGAACGAGCGAGAGAGAGCUUGCUUUCUCGAGCGAGUGGCGAACGGGUGAGUAACGCGUGAGGAACCUGCCUCAAAGAGGGGGACAACAGUUGGAAACGACUGCUAAUACCGCAUAAGCCCACGGCUCGGCAUCGAGCAGGGGGAAAAGGAGCAAUCCGCUUUGAGAUGGCCUCGCGUCCGAUUAGCUAGUUGGUGAGGUAACGGCCCACCAAGGCGACGAUCGGUAGCCGGACUGAGAGGCUGAACGGCCACAUUGGGACUGAGACACGGCCCAGACUCCUACGGGAGGCAGCAGUGGGGAAUAUUGCACAAUGGGGGAAACCCUGAUGCAGCGACGCCGCGUGGAGGAAGAAGGUCUUCGGAUUGUAAACUCCUGUUGUUGGGGAAGAUAAUGACGGUACCCAACAAGGAAGUGACGGCUAACUACGUG
rnacentral:rRNA from 1 species